rnacentral:rRNA from 1 species
AUUGAACGCUGGCGGCAGGCCUAACACAUGCAAGUCGAGCGGUAGAGAGGUGCUUGCAUCUCUUGAGAGCGGCGGACGGGUGAGUAAUGCCUAGGAAUCUGCCUAGUGGUGGGGGAUAACGUUCGGAAACGGACGCUAAUACCGCAUACGUCCUACGGGAGAAAGCGGGGGAUCUUCGGACCUCGCGCCAUUAGAUGAGCCUAGGUCGGAUUAGCUAGUUGGUGAGGUAAUGGCUCACCAAGGCGACGAUCCGUAACUGGUCUGAGAGGAUGAUCAGUCACACUGGAACUGAGACACGGUCAGACUCCUACGGGAGGCAGCAGGU